rnacentral:rRNA from 1 species
UACGGAGGGGGCAAGCGUUGUUCGGAAUCAUUGGGCGUAAAGGGCGCGUAGGCGGCCGUCCAAGUCGGGUGUGAAAUCCCUCGGCUCAACCGAGGAACUGCACUCGAUACUGGUUGGCUAGAGUCCGGGAGGGGAUGGUGGAAUUCCCAGUGUAGCGGUGAAAUGCGUAGAUAUUGGGAAGAACACCGGUGGCGAAGGCGGCCAUCUGGACCGAUGUACGCUGAGGCGCGAAA